rnacentral:tRNA from 1 species
AAAAAAUAUUGAAAUUAAAAAAAUUUUUAUUAUAUCAAUUUUAUAAUUAUUUUUUUUUCUUAAAAGA